UUACGGCCACAUCAUGUUGAAACACCAGUUCCUUAUGAUCACCAAAGUUAAGCAAUGUCGAGUCUGGCCAGUACCUAGAUGGGUGACUGCCUGGGAAUACCUGAUGCUGUA